rnacentral:lncRNA from 1 species
CUGCCCCUUCCUGCCGCCGCGGCGAGUGCUUGGUCUCUGGUAAGCCGAGUGCCCCGCUCCUGGGAGCGGCCUUUGCUCUGCUCGGACCUCUCGUUUUGGUAGCUUGUCCCCAGUUAACGGCCGGGAGUUUCCCUGUACACAGCUCUCGUUUUCUCUUCAGCUUGGGAGCUUGUUGCAAGGGGCGCCAGAGCCCUGCAGGGCAGGUGCUGCUUUGUUUCCCUCUUCUCCCACCUAGUACCGUAUCCYGCAUUUGUKAACUCCUGCCUUGGAACYGGACACAGCGGCAUCACCUGGCGCRGCCUUYGCAGCCCAGGGAUGGGUCCCUGGUUGCGGUUUACUUCCAGCGCAGAAGUUUGGCUCCUCCUUUAAGUCAUGGAACCAGCUGCUGUUCCAGCUUAGAAGUGGUAUUCAACGGUAUAGACCCUACGAGCUGCGUUUUCCACCCAGUUCCCGUCUCCUAAGACAGCAAUUUUUGUUCUGUCCCCUAAAACAGCAGCCCCAGGUUUCAGCAAGAGCCCGGUGACUCCUUUCCAUCUCUGCCCUGCGAGGGAGGCAGUCGGCACAGAGGAACUGUGCCGAGAGGCAUCCGGGCACCGCAUCGCGGCAGAGGAAGCCUGUUGGCAGCCGGGACCCRGCGCUUUCAGAAAGGGAUGCAGGGAUGACAGCUGCCUCUCAUCUGGGACGUGUUGGAAAAGAAGCRAGUAGAAGUUAAGCUGGCAAGUGUAGGAACUUCUUCUGGUGGGAGRAAUGCCAGYGGAUCGCCCAGGAAGACGCGAAGGACGGCUUUGUGCCAGCCCUCCACGGGGUUUCUGCUAUGUAACGCYGCCUCUAGCAACAAGCUGGAGAGGAGCUCGAGACRCCUGGGUCGGAGAUGCCCUGCGAGCUUUGCCCUUGCAGACAGGGGACCUCGGCUGGCUCCCGGGGCUGCGUCAGGUGAACAAGCCUGGCCAGGCACAGAGCGGCCGCACAGGAGCGUCUCUGCCAGGCCGGUCUCUGCUCAGA